GGAAUACCUAGGAUAGGAUAAAGUAAUCCUUCUAACCCCCCCCUUAAAAGAUGUAGAUGCACUAUUGUAAAGUGGUUGUUCCACUGGAUAUCAUAAGGUGAAUGCACCAAUUUGUAAGUCGCUCUGGAUAAGAGCGUCUGCUAAAUGACUUAAAUGUAAAUGUAAAUGUAAAUCUCUAGGAGACAGAACGCGUAGCCUUCCUGAGCGGUAUGACGGCUUGCGCACUAUUAUUUGUACAAAUGAAUGUGGUACCUUCAGGCGUUUGGAAAUUGCUCCCAAGGAUGAACCAGACUUGUGGAGGUCUACAAUCUUUUUUCUGAGGUUUUGGCUGAUUUAUUUAGAUUUUCCCAUGAUGUCAAACAAAGAGGCACUGAGUUUGAAGGUAGGCCUUGAAAUACAUCCACAGGUACACCUCCAAUUGACUGAAAUGAUGUCAAUUAGCUUAUCAGAAGCUUCUAAAGCCAUGACAUCAUUUUCUGGAAUUUUCCAAGCUGUUUAAAGGCACAGUCAACUUAGUGUAUGUAAACUUCUGACCCACUGGAAUUGUGAUACAGUGAAUUAUAAGUGAAGUAAUCUGUCUGUAAACAAUUGUUGGAAAAAUUACUUGGUCAUGCACAAAGUAGAUGUCCUAACCCACUUGCCAAAGCUAUAGUUUGUUAACAAGAAAUUUGUGGAGUGGUUGAAAAACUAGUUUUAAUGACUCCAACCUAAGUGUAUGUAAACUGUCGACUUCAACUGUAUAACAUGAAAUAAUUAAAAUAGUCCUCAUUGUAAUAAUUACAUAGGAUCAAGUAACACUUCAUAAACUGUUAUUUACAGCAUUUAUAUAUAGCCUAUGCGAUUACAUCACAGGCAAGAAUCCUGCGUUUCCGUGGAGAUGGGGAUUGGCACAUGAUGGAGCCCUGACUCGCUGACACAAACACGCUAACGUAAAACAAAGUUAUGAGAAAUAACUGUCUAAAGUAAUAAUUUAAGAUCAGACUGUAUUUACAUCAGACUUUCUGCAUCAUCGUCAACAAAAAACAUAUGAAGAAGGCAGAUCUGGAAUGGGAGGGCGGAAACAACAACAGCAGGGGAAAAGAGGACGUUAAUCUGUGUUCAUCAGGGGUCAGAGGUCACAGACAUACAGCACUAGAGCGAGGCUUCAGAUCGCUAGCCAACCUGAAUGCCAUUAGAACAGUUCAAAUCUGUACAAUAACAUGAAGUCAAAGUCAGUGAAGUCAUACACACAGACAUCCUGAGGGAGAAUCAUCUACCAAAUAUAUUAAGCUAUGUGCAGUCCAUUCAUAUAUUCACCUCUACCCCAGUCACCUAACAAAUAUAUUCACCUGUACGCCCCAGUCACCUAACCAACAUCCCCAGUUCAUUCACCUAACAAAUAUAUUCACCUGUACGCCCCAGUCACCUAACCAACAUCCCCAGUUCAUUCACCUAACAAAUAUAUUCACCUGUACGCCCCAGUCACCUAACCAACAUCCCCAGUUCAUUCACCUAACAAAUAUAUUCACCUGUACGCCCCAGUCACCUAACCAACAUCCCCAGUUCAUUCACCUAACAAAUAUAUUCACCUGUACGCCCCAGUCACCUAACCAACAUCCUCAGUUCAUUCACCUAACAAAUAUAUUCACCUGUACGCCCUUUAAAGGAAUAUAUUCACAGGUAUGGCCUUAAUUCUUCCACAUAUACAGUAUGUAAACCCUGACAUGUGGUGAGGGUGAGUUGUUGCUGUGGCUUCACCAAGCAGCAGAUUCACACAUUAGUUUAACAUUUAGGUGACUGAUUGAUUGGAGUUGAGUGGUAGUGUGUUUUAAACUCCUGAGACAGUGAACUAACUGAUAACCAACACCCUGUCAUCUAUAGGUCUGUUCAUCACCACCCUGUCAUCUAUAGGUCUGUUCAUCACCACACUGUCAUCUAUAGGUCUGUUCAUCACCACCCUGUCAUCUAUAGGUCUGUUCAUCACCACACUGUCAUCUAUAGGUCUGUUCAUCACCACACUGUCAUCUAUAGGUCUGUUCAUCACCACCCUGUCAUCUAUAGGUCUGUUCAUCACCACCCUGUCAUCUAUAGGUCUGUUCAUCACCACACUGUCAUCUAUAGGUCUGUUCAUCGACACACUGGAGAUACUGUUUGGCCUCUGUGUCUGUUUGUAUCUAUGGUCCAACAUGGUAAGCUCUGAGAAAGGCAGCAUAGAUGCACGAUAAGGCAGAUCCGUACAAAACACACACACACACACACACACACACACACACACACACACACACACACACACACACACACACACACACACACACACACACACACACACAC
rnacentral:lncRNA from 1 species